UUCGCUAUGAGAGCCUGACAGACC
rnacentral:piRNA from 1 species